rnacentral:rRNA from 1 species
UACAGAGGUGGCAAGCGUUGUUCGGAAUUACUGGGCGUAAAGGGCGCGUAGGCGGCCUUCUAAGUCUUGUGUGAAAUCCCUCGGCUCAACUGAGGAACUGCACGGGAUACUGGAUGGCUUGAGUUCGGGAGAGGGAAGCGGAAUUCCGGGUGUAGCGGUGAAAUGCGUAGAUAUCCGGAGGAACACCGGUGGCGAAGGCGGCUUCCUGGACCGAUUACUGACGCUGAGGCGCGAAAGCUAGGGGAGCAAACGGG